UGGUGUUGUGAAAUGUCAGCUUAAUUGCGGUAACGAACGAGACCUGGACGUACUAACUAGACACGGGAGACUUGCUACUCAGCACGUGGUUGGAGGCGUGUGGUCCUUGCGGCUGUGCGUUGAAGGCUGCGUGUGGUUUGUCUUCUUGCCCGUCUUCUUAGAGGGACUGCAGGGUUUCAACCCUGAGGAAGGUCCAGGCAAUAACA
rnacentral:rRNA from 1 species